CCUACGGGUGGCAGCAGUGGGGAAUAUUGCACAAUGGGGGAAACUCUGCUGCAGCAACGCCGCGUGAGGGAUGACUGCCUUAGGGUUGUAAAGCUCUGUCUUCAGGGACGAUAAUGACGGUACCUGUGGAUGUAGCCACGGCUAACUACGAGCCAGCAGCCGUGGUAAUACGUAGGUGGCGAGCGUUGUCCGGAUGUACUGGGCGUAAAGGGAGCGUAGGCGGACUUUUAAGUGAGAUGUGAAAUACUCGGGCUCAACCUGAGUGCUGCAUUUCAAACUGGAAGUCUAGAGUGCAGUAGAGGAGAAUGGAAUUCGUGGUGUAGCGGUGAAAUGCGUAGAGAUUAGGAAGAACACCAGUGGCGAAGGCAGUUCUCUGGACUGUAACUGACGCUGAGGCUCGAAAGCGUGGGGAGCAAACAGGAUUAGAUACCCUGGUAGUC
rnacentral:rRNA from 1 species